UUCCGAAAUUUCGAAAUCAUGGGUAGAGCCAAUUAAACUCACGAGCCCUGCACGUGUUGUUCUCAACGCUUAUUUAUGUCGAAAAUCAAUCUAGGCGUCGAGAAAAACAAGCACAUUAAAUUACCACCUGACGCCCUUGCCUCAUGUAAGAACCCUCCUCUAUAUAAGAACUCAAUCUUAUAUAAGAACCAAUCUCAGCCGUUUAUCAGUUUUGAUCUAACCAUUUAAAAAGAUCCUUUAGUAAUGGCAUUUUCGUAAUUGUUUACAAUUUUUUUUUCACCUUUUUAACCAAAUAACCUACUACUAAAAGGCUAUUCCUUCUCUCUCCUCAGCAUCUUCUCUUUCCUCAAAACUCUAGAAUACCCAAAUUUUAUCAUCUUCAUCAACGAAUUCAUACUUUGGUUUUUGCAUAUUCAUAGAUUUAGAUGAUGUUGAGCAUAAUUCUCCUUCUUGCUCUGUUACUCAUUCAGGCACGGUACCGAUCACUCGAUAAGAAAUGCAAUCCGAGACGUGUUCAUAUCAAAGUUAUUUUCAUAUCAAAGACAUAGGAACAC